UAGGAGGUAGUGUAAUGGGAGCACGAAGAGUUUUGAUCUCUUAAGUAUGGGUUCGAUCCCCCUUCUCCUAA
rnacentral:tRNA from 2 species